rnacentral:lncRNA from 1 species
UCAGCCUUUCUCAUACAAGGAGAGGUAUACUGAGGUACAUCUAGGCCAUAGUGUAUGUAUCAUGGAAAAAGUGUCACUAGCAUAUUUUGGGAAGGCUCUGGAAAGAAAGAGCAGGCAAAGAAGGAAAAGAAUAAAAAAAGACUCUGAAGGCAACAUCUUGUAAGUGAGGUAUGCUGAUAGUGAGAAUGGUAGACUUGGGCACCUCCUUGCAUUUGUGUGAUAUGCUGAACACUUUCAAGUGACUGACUUUUAAGAGAGAUUCCCUUUUGACAGGCAUGGUGGCCCCUGAGCUUAUAUAAGAGCAGGGGUGUGCUCUGUGUGUAAGGCAGGGCUAGCCAGGAGCACAGAAUGUGCAGUGCCCUCACUGACACGGAACAGUCCAAUAGCACCUGAGCUAAACAAGCAAAGCAGAAUGGUCCAGCAACAGUUCCUGUGAACAGCCCAUCCAUCAGAAGACAAGGCAACAUGCCAGAACUAAGAAGAUGAAUGCAGGAAAUCCAAACAACAAUUUAGGGAUGGAGAUGAAAGAAGGUACCUCAAUAUUAAACUGUAAGGACCAUAUACCAAAUAGGGUGCCUGAAGUAGAAAAAAAAAAAAAAAAGCAAAGAAAAUCAGUCUUCUGACUAAAGAAGAACUAGAGAUUUGGAAAGAAAAACCCUGAAAGACACCUCUCUGAAGACAAUCUUUUUAUAUACAUAUUUGUAAAUUUUAAGAAUAUUAUUUGUGUCUUUGUAGCAAGUUCUAGUGUUUACUGAUCUCAUCAUUGAUAAAAAAAAGUUACAACCUCCACGAUAUUUUUGUAAUAGUUGAGAAUGAUAAGGUUUAAAACUGUACAAAAGAACAAUUUUUCUGUUAUUAAAUGUUUCUCUCUAAUAUUUUCAUAGGCUAUUUUGCUUCUUUUAAGAUGCUUAAAUAAGUCAGUACAUUUGCAUCUCACUCCAUGAUGAUGACUGUACAGAAUGAGUUAUUCCUUCAAGACCCAGUGAGGCAUACUGCUGAUGGGUGGACCCCAGCCUACUGAGGUGUGGUACACCAGAGCAGCCUGUAUACAGAGCCUCAUAGCACUUGCUGCCAUGAGUGGGAACUCUAAAGAGUAGCCUGCAAAAAUGCUGGAAGAAUUCUUAGAGGACUUGAAAAUCUUACUGCAGCUUUAAUUUUU